rnacentral:tRNA from 1 species
GUAGUCGUGGCCGAGUGGUUAAGUCGAUAGACUAUAAAUCCAUUGGGCUCUUCCCGCGCAGGUUCGAAUCCUGCCGACUACG